CCCCAUUUUUCUGGGGGUUUGCUUUUUUGUCCCGUGAUAUCUCACUCUCACUCUCUAUUUUCUUCUUCUUCUUCUUCUUCCACUCUCACUCACCUUUACUCCUUCUCCUCCUCUUUUGCCGAGACACACACACACCCACACCUCUACACUUGCAACCACGGUAAGGCAACACCCCCACCAUCAUCCCUUGUAAUCCUUGUGAGCCAUUAGACCUAGAAAUAGGAGAAAAGUACCUUGUAAACUACCUCCCCGCACUGCACAGUACCAUCACUGUGCAUCAUUCUUCUCCGGUGAAUUCUGACCAUUUCCAUCCAAGGAGCUCGGAAAACACAAAGGAAGGUCACUGUUCAUUCUGGAAAUUUUCAACCCGUGGUCGUUUGGCCACUUUUCAGCCAUUUUUCCGGCCAACUCCGAUCUCCAUUGGGCCUCCUAAGGGUGAAACGUAUUGCAAGGAUCUUCGAAGCCCGCAAGGUGGGUUCGACCCGACUUCAUGUUAUGUGAGUGGGCAUUUGUUCUCUCUCUCUCUCUCUCUCUCUCUCUCUCUCUAUAUAUAUAUAUA